UAUAUAUUGGUGUAAAUGCACAAAAAAUUUUGAUUUUUUAAGAGGUAGUGGGAUUCUACUAUGUAUAU
rnacentral:tRNA from 1 species